AGAGUUUGAUCCUGGCUCAGAGCGAACGCUGGCGGCGUGCUUAACACAUGCAAGUCGAACGAGUGUAGCAAUACAUUCGUGGCGAACGGGUGCGUAACACGUGGAUAACCUUCCUUGAGGUGGGGAAUAACCCCGCGAAAGCGGGGCUAAUACCGCAUAACAAAGCGAUGGCACAUGCUGUUGCUUUCAAAGGAGCAGUUCGCCACAAGAGGGAUCCGCGGCCGAUUAGCUAGUUGGUGAGGUAACGGCUCACCAAGGCUAUGAUCGGUAGCCGGACUGAGAGGUUGGCCGGCCACACUGGAACUGAGACACGGUCCAGACUCCUACGGGAGGCAGCAGUGGGGAAUUUUGGACAAUGGGGGCAACCCUGAUCCAGCCAUGCCGCGUGCGGGAAGAAGGCCUUCGGGUUGUAAACCGCUUUUAGCCGGGAAGAAAAGGCAGAGGCCAAUACCUUCUGUUUUUGACGGUACCGGCGGAAUAAGCACCGGCUAACUACGUGCCAGCAGCCGCGGUAAUAC
rnacentral:rRNA from 1 species